CGAGACAGGUGCUGCUAUGGCUGUCGUCAGCUCGUGUCGUGAGUAUGUUGGGUUAAGUCCCGCAACGAGCGCAACCCCUGUCUUCAGUUACCAUCAUUAAGUUGGGGACUCUGGAAGAUACUGCCCGGUCAACGGGGAGGAAGGUGGGAUGACGUCAAGUCCUCAUGGCCUUUAUGUCCAGGGCUACACACGUGCUACAAUGGCGCAUACAAAGAGAAGCGACCUCGCGAGAGCAAGCGGACCUCAUAAAGUGCGUCGUAGUCCGGAUUGGAGUCUGCAACUCGACUCCAUGAAGUCGGAAUCGCUAGUAAUCGUGGAUCAGAAUGCCACGGUCGAAUACGUUCCCGGGCCUU
rnacentral:rRNA from 1 species